ACAUUCUCUCUUCCCCUUCCCCUUUACCCAACCUCCAUUUUCAAUUUCUAUCUUCUCUAAAGCUCUAAUAUCUUUCAUCGUCCACUUCAAGUAAUUUCUCUUCAUCUUCCGAGUAAUUUGUGCUCCAUAUUGAUGAGUUUUUUUUAAUUUUUUUUUCAGUUUUGGUUUGUGGUGAUUGAGUUGAUUUUGGAGGAAAAAAUUUAAUUUUUUAAAAAACGGGGUUGAUUUUACUAAAUUUUUUUUAUUUUUAAGUUGGUAUUUAUUUGAUUGUUGGUGGAUAUUUGAUGGAUUAUGAUUUUCCUUACCGAUUGUAUGGUGAAAAGUUUUUGUGAAUUUGAUUGCUAAUGUGGCAAGAAAUUCGGGUUUUCUUCAAAUUCUUCGUUAAUGUAAUGGUGUUUUAGAUGCAUGUUCUUGUGGGGAUGGUUUCAUCAUGCAUUUUUGUUGUUCUUUUAAUAGAUCAUUCGACUGAUUAGGUAUUUGUUUGAUUUGGAUGGAAAAUUUAUUUUAUUUUUUUUAAAUGGGGCUUGAUUUUACUGAAAAUCUGUAUUUUUAAGUUGAUAUUUUUUUGAUUUUGAUGGAUUAUGACUGUCCUUGCCGAUUAUAUGGUGAUUUUCUUUUGAAUUUCACCGGUUAGUGUGUUAGAAAUCUGGACAAGGAAGAGAAGUUCAUUUAGGAUCCUAGACUU
rnacentral:lncRNA from 1 species